GGGAGACGACGAAGCGCGCACCACGACUCUGAUCGCGAGAAUCUUUCUUAGCUGUUGAGAGCGUGGCGUGCUUCAGAGGAAAAGAAAAAAAUAACACGGUGGGGAAAAUAAGAAAUGCUCCGCCGCAUUAUCUUAUCUGCAUUAUCAUACACACUGCGAUAUGUUGGCCUCGCGAGAGCAACUUUGCCGAGAAAACCGACACUGGCGUUCAGUUCCGCGUUUGAUGUGACCAACGUUUCCAUGAUCCUGAUUACUAUUAAUAGUAUUAUUGUUAGUAGUAUCGUUAUCGUUUUGGUGAGCAGUUUGCAGAUUUUUAUUUCGUUUUUUCUUCUGCGUAUACAUGGAAAGUUUAAGAACUCGAAAAUACGUGGAAUACACGUAACGUGCAAAAAUGUAUUAUAUAAAGGUACGUGAAGUAUAGUGUUUGGUAUAAUACUCGGUAGAUACAUAGCGUUCGGUAUGUGUUUAGUGUGCCACUAAAUGUGAUAUCGACGAUCGAUUAUCAUCGGCGAGUGGACUACGCUUUUUCGCGGAUUUUAUGGCGAAUGUAAAAAUUCAGAGGUUCGUGGAAUACGCGCAACGUGAAAAUAUACGAGCCGCUGCAUAUGCAAAAGCGGUGUAAGUCAAAGAAAAGUUGAUUAUUACCGAGUAAUGAGAGGUAAAAUGAGAAUUCUGUAAAGCGUGGAGCGGACGAUUCUCAGCGAGAAGCUAACCAACAUUUACCUACGCUUGCUUUUACUUCUGCGCGAAACAGGAUGAAGGUCACGCUCUCGUGAUGCGGUGUUAAAUGAAAUGCGCGAAAAAUUGAUUUACACCGCGUUUACGUUACGCGGCUCGUAUCGUAAGGUGCCUGCCUAAAGUACGGUACUGCAAUAUUAGGUCAUCCCAUAAGUUCGUGCCGACUUUUGUGUAUACAUUUCAUGCGUCGAUUUCUAAACAUACGGCGAUAAGGGACCAAUGCACUUGAGCUUAGCUGAUCGAGAACAGAUUUUCCUGGAUAUAAGGUCGUAAUAUAGCGAACACAGUGACUUGUAACAGUAAAAAAUGAUGAGUGAAAUGCGUAUCCAUUUUCGACAUCUCGUGUUAUAUGAAUCUCGGAAAGGAUGUUCAGCAACAAUUGCCACGAAAAACAUAUGUGCUGUUUACGGCGAAAAUGCGCUUUCAUCUCGCACCUGUAGCAAGUGGUUGCAACGUUUUAGAGCUGAGAAUUUCUGUUUAGAAGACGAGGAACGCUCCGGGCGUCCUCCUCACACAGACGAACAUAAAAUUCGCGAUCUCGUUGAAAAAUCACGAAGUUUCACAGUUCAAGAGAUGUGAAAUGUUCUGAAAAUACCCGAGAUAACGAUUCAUAGGUGUUUAAAAAAAAUAACAUAUAUAACCGCUCGAAAAACGGCACGAACUUAUGGGAUGACCUAAUAUUUAUGGACGUACGAAGGUUUCGGCGACGUCGAUGAUCCACGAUUAGCUGGCAGCAGGAAAAUUACAAAUUUACUAUAACGAUGCAGAUAUUUCGAGCCAGCUGUAAAUGCAACGAGACACAUUGGUUCGUUUGCGAUGGCGAAACGAAAGGAGACAGAAAGAGAGGAAAGAUAUAAUAUACGAUAGAAUUAUGGAGGUCAGAUUGAAGAAAGACAAAUGAGGGCCAGUGAGGACUUCUGAGAAUUCUUCAUCUUCUCCUCGCGAAAUCGUCUUUUCGAUAAAUCCAAAGCGUGCGGUGAGUGAUUUGUCGUCUUAUUGGAUUACAAUGUUGCGUUUAAUACGUUGUGUCGUGAUCGAUAGGCGCCGAAUCACGCCCCUAAUUGAUCCUCCUCCCACAGCUGAUAUAAAUCCUCUAAUCAAUAAAUAACGAUUCCUGGAAAUUUCGUUGUAUUUUUAAUUGAGGUUUUUAUUCUUAGCCUUCUUCUUAUAAUAUACGUAGCUGCUUUUACUUUUUUUUUUAUUAUUGUCGGAAUUUCAUAUUUUAUAGUAGCUCGAUUUUUACGUUAGAAAAAAGAAAACUAUGUGUAUUGACCUAGUUUAUCACCGAGAUCUUGAAAAAUCUGUCGUUUCCUAAAAACAAAUUUUCCAAUUUACCAUUCUCUCUCUCUCUCUCUUAUCGUCUAAGAAAAAUCAUAGUGAUCAUCCGAAGCCAUAAAAAAGCCCAAAGCAUCUUUAUCGUUCCUCAUGUUUCACCAUUCCUCUUACUUUCUCCCCAAAAGUAUAUCAUCGAGAUUGGAUCCGUACGUGCAACGCUUUCGUUAAAACUUGCUAUCGUAAUCUACAACGAUUGGAAAAUUUCGAACAAUCGAUUACUUGAGUUCAGAAUUAAAGGCAUGGAACAAUUGGUAUAAAUGGAAUUGGUAGACGAAAAAUUUGUCUAUUGUUUCCUACAGAAAAUUUGCCAAUUACAAUUCUCAAGAAUCACAGUGAUCACCGGAAACCCAUGAAUAACGCAAAACUAUCUAUCUUCGUAUUUCUCUUAGCUUCUCCGCGAAAGUAUUAUCUUCAAAAUUUCACCUAUGCAUACGACGAUUUUAUUCAAACUCAGCGUCGUUCGUCACGUACUUUGCGAUAUUUCAAAAAUUGAGAAUAAUAAAUUUAAAAGGAUGCUUGAGUGUAAAAUUAAAAACGCUAAAAAAAUUUCUCUGCUAACUUAUUUAUCAUCCUUCCUCCGCCCCCCCCCCCUCCCCCUCCCCCGCCCCGAAAAAAAAUUUUUUUUGCCAAUUACCACUACGAAGAAUUACAACGAUCGUGCGAAAUCGAAUAGAAAUCGCCAAACCGUGUCCUCCUAGUUUCUUCUCCGAAAGGACUGUCGUCGAAAUUAUAGCAAUAGGAUGACGGAACAUGAAGGGCUGCCGGUGGAUGGAAACAAAACCGUAAUGGCGGUGAAUAAUUGCCGAGCAGGCAUGUACGACGCGGACCUCGGAUAAGUUUGUGCGUUUGACAGGAAACGCGUUAUAUGGCAGUCUCAUGAAAAUUAUAUGUUGCGCCCCAACGGCGCUAGGGUGGUACGCACGUUAUAAAGUCCACCCUCCCUCGUCGAUCAAUAUAUACGCCACCCAUGGUGUGUUCCUCCGUCUGUCGAUUUGUUUCCCAUGAGCCUCGUACGGCUGCUGCCAGUUCUCUUUUUUUUUUUUUUCUUUCGCCCCUCGACCCGUAUAAAACGUGAAAUCACCGUGUGCGUUUCGUCGUAGCACGCGCCUGAAUUAUCGUAAAGCGACGUUCACGGGGUAUCCUUGAUUCGUUUAGCGGGCGAUUAUUUUCCUGUGAAUUUAGAGAAAUCGUUGGAGUACAUUUUCGGAGAGUUUUCUAUGUUCCGCUUCUUCCUAGGGGAAUUAUUCUUAGUGCCUCUAGGGGAAUCACCGGGACCGAUCGCCGGUGAAUUGUUCCUAGUUACAUUGGCCAGUUGCCUAGGGAAAUUCGGUGACUCGACUGCACAUACUCUUUCUAUCGAGUUUUUUGGGCCGAUAAGCGCCAGCCGGGCGUUAUUAUUAGAUGCAAAUUCGUACUUUCAUCGAGAUGAGUGUAAAAAAAGGAGAAGGAAGUUCAGAUGGAAAAUUUGUUUAUCCACGAAAUAUUACAGCAAGUACGAUAUUUUAGGUAUUUUCUAUAUCUCUGCGCGUUAGCCGCGUCUUGUACAUCUUAGCAUCUUCUUGUGCAUCUCGAGAUUUUACGUAAAUAUAUGGAAAAUGGUUGCAUUACAAAGGACGAGGCGCCUAAAAACAGGCCAACUAAAUUUGCGCCUUCCUAUUAGCCGAUAACAGCUGAGACGUUCAGGUGGCCUGUUUCAGGCGCCUCGCCCUGUAUCUUUCAGUAUUAUAAUAUUUACCCAGAGAUAGAAUGGAUAUUAACCUUUUCAGAUUGUCAAGGUUAAUAACGAGCGAAAUUUAUUGCCGUGAUAAGAACGAUUCUUUCGUUGGAUCGUAUCGUACGUAGAUCGUGAGUUGUAGAAACGGCAAGAAUUUUUGAAACAGGCAAUGAGAAAAUGGAUCCACUCGGUCACCACCAGCAGAACUGGUUUCUUCGUCAAUUUAGAAAUAAUAACGAAAAUAUCUCAAGAAUACAAAACGUCUAUCUCGUUUGAAUCUUGUUCUUACGUUCCAUAUUUAAAGAUAAGAUUGAAACUUGUCGUACAAUGAUACAAAAAGAUCUAUUUGAAUAAUCUACACACACACACACACUAUAAUUGUUUGGAAAUAUGUAUUAGUAUCGUACCGGGUGUUUUCUUUCGUCAUUUUAUAAGUUCGCGAAACGUAGAAAAUUAUCUCGCCAGUUCACCUCCAACGAUACAACGAGUACCUCCAGUUUCAACAAUGAAAUUUAUAUUUUUUUCGUGUUGGCGUUUGCAAUUAAAUCAGAGUUGUUCGGACGCGUAUCGAAGAGGGACAGACGUAGUUAUAAAAUAAUUUCCGAUAUUUUCGUUUGGUAGCAUCGUAGCUGGCGGCGUUAGCCGGGCCCGAAAUUGAAAUUUCGUUGGCAACCCUGGCGUCCAUUUCGCGUUUCCCUUUUUCCACCGAAACAAUCGAAUCCUGCGCUAAUUGGACCUAGCGGAACUUUGCGUAACGUCUAUCUUAAUAUUACGCUACGAAUUUCACCGAUCGGAGCUUCCAAUCGUACGAUACGUCACGUAAAACCUACCUAUGUAAUUAAAUUUCGAAAAGAUUCGAGAUACUUAAUUCUGUACGUGUGUGUGUGUAUGUGUGUGUGUGUGAUCGAAAUAUAGGUCGAUUAUUAUCGGCGAUGAUUUUAGUUGAAUAUUCGGUACAUCGUAGAAACUGUAUUUAAAAAGAAGAAAAAAGAGAGGCCAGAAUUUACUUAAAAUUAAUAAUUUUCUAUAGUUACCAUACAUGUAAUAAUUAUUAGCAUAGAAUGUUUAAUUUGAGAGGUUCAAAGGAGAAAUAGCAAAAAACCGUGGGUAAAAUUUCAGACAGGAAAAAGAUAAUCCGAUUUCCAAAUCUGCAAGUUUAACAUUUAUGUUACAUAAUUACAUUAUACAGGGUGGUUGGUAAUUGGUGGUACAAGCGGGAAAGGGGCGAUUCUACGCGUAAAAAGAGGUCGAAAAUAUAGAAUAAAAAUUUUUCGUUCGAGGCUUCGUUUUCGAGAAAAUCGACUUUGAAUUUUCGGUCGGUACGCGUGCACUUUAUCGCGUCUCGUUAUAACGGAUCUCACCGUAGAUCGUUGUCUCGAUUGACGUUAUUUUUUUAAUUUUUUACAUUCUUAUUCUAUAUUUUCGACUUCUUUUUUCGCGUAGAAUCACCCCCUUUCCGCUUGUACCACCAGUUACCAACCACCCUGUAUAUAUUAUAUAUAAACAUAUUAUAUUACGCUAACACGUUGUUGUUUGGUCACAAAUACUAUUUACGAUAUUUACGAUAUUUACAUCGUAUCAGUAGGCGGAUUUGUAUCCAUUUAGCUGAAUGUCCGCUGCUUCUCACGCACAAGUAUUCCAAUUUAUGUUUACAACCCUCUGUUUGGACACCCUGUUGGAGUUAAAUUUCGAAAAACACUCAAACACGUGUUUGUUUGUUUUCAACGAGAAGUUCACGGUGUCUAAGUUUAACGAACAUACAAAUGCGAUUAUCUCUUGGAAGAAGAAAAAACGUACUCUUUCUCACCCCUAUAAGAAUUGGAUUUCGAAAAGCGGUCAAACACGUGUUUGUUUAUUUCUAACGAGGCGUGCACGUGCCGAAUUUCACGUACCUAACUUCGGUCGGUACAAAGGUAUGGUUAUCUUCUGAAAGAGAGAAACCUACCCUUUUUCUCCCCUCCCCCCCCCCCAAGAGUCGAAUUUCGAGAAACGUUCGAACACUUGUUUGUUUAUUUUUAACGAGCAGUUCAUAUGCCGAGUCUGCAACUUCAGUGAAUAUAAAAAUACGAUUAAACUGUUUUAAAAAAAUGUUACCCUCUUCUCGUUAUCCGUUUGGGGUCCAAACAUCCUUUCUACGUCAUAAAACAAGCAUAUUGUCCACAUUUCAAAUCUCUGACUGCAGUUAGCAGUUUGGGCUGGGCGUUGACGAGCUGGGCGUCAGUCGCUUUUGCAAUAUAAAACGCAAUUUUUUUAUUCUUGAUUUCUAUUUUAUUUCAUCCCUUAAAUUUUCUGGUGUAUACAAAUAGAUUCUAUUAUCCGAUUAAUUAAUUUCUCAAUUUUUGUCGAUAUGAGAAUCUACAGAGAAUUAGACGAUCGAAAGCAAUAACCACGAACGAACAAUUGAUAUGAAAUUUGGAAUUUUUAUUUAAAUUCAAUGAAAAUUGACUGAGCUAAAAUCGAUCGGUAAAAAGAAUUUCUUCCUUCUUAUUUAGUUUCGAGAUUGCUCGCAACGUUGUGUUUUCGCCUUUCGUUUUCAACUUCUUAUCCACUCAAUUAACUAAACGUUCCACAGUGACUUUCUGCGUUGCGAACGUUGCCGCUUCCUCGGUUCCUCUUUCGUGAUUAGGUGAACACGGGUGAAGUUUGUGUGACCUACUCCUAGCCUUGCAAGUAUCGACCGAUGCUUCCUACUCUCUCAAUCUCCACAGCUUUUUUCUCCCGAAAAUAUCGUCUCGCACGUUUAUCACUGUUAUUAUAAAUUUUGUAUCGUUACUAUUGACACAUGUGUAAUUUUGUGUGCUACGCUAGAUUAGCCGCGUAGUAGUGACACAUAUAUAUGAGUAUGAGUGUGUGGAGUAUAUGCGUGCACAGCGUCUCUUAAAACAGAUUUUUUUAUUUAUUUAUUUAUUUAUUUAAAUUUUACAAUUUGUCCAGUAGGAUAUUUGGUAAAAUAUUAUAGCUUAGUGGUAUAAUAAUAUAACAUGUGGGUGGCUACCCCCAACGGGGUACCAUCUUCGUGUUUGUUAGGUUAUAUCCUUUGUGAAAACAGAUGAAUGCAACUGUUCCGUUGGUAAUGUGGUAAAGAAGAUGGCGAGACAAAGAGAGUGGCUGAGACGCGUGCGAAUGUAUAUCCACGAAUAUCUUGUAAAUCACGUAUUAAAUAAAUCUGAAACUAUUUUGAUAUCAAUUCUAAGUGUAAUCUAAUUGUUCCUAUACGUUUAUUUCGGUGAUUAAGAUCCAUAAUUCUCAACAGUUACACGCUCUGGCACGGUUCUCCAAUUUUGAUAUCCCCAUCUUCUUUCAACGACCAAGAAGACUCGUAAAUAAUAUUAAAAAUGGCUUUAUCGCUAAACUGCGGAUUUUCACGUACGUGUACCACGUAUUUAUAGAAAAUUUGAAGGUGUAACGUUCCACGAAAUGCGCACACGAUAUCCAAUAAGGUACAGCGCUUUCUACACUGCUCGGUGAACCGCAACGAGGCACAAAGACAGUUCGAUUGUCUCUGAGAGUUUUUAUUCGCGUCGAGGGAGUUGCAAAACUCGUGGAACGCGGCUGAAUGAGCCCACGCGCAUUCCCUGACUGUCGUACGCGGUCCAAGAUAUUGACAUUGGCCCUUUUCCACCAGAUCUGAUCGUUUUAUUAUGCAGCCAGCGGAACUCGGUUUCGAGGAUUGGCACAGUUUCAAGCGCACCAAGCUACUCAGACGUUUCACGACCCAGUGCUAGCCUCCGUCGGUUUAUACACGUCCUAAAACAUUUAUAUCACGGUCGAUAUUUCACGGUAAAUUGGAAGAAACGAUCUCGAAUAACGUUAUAUCCAAGCAGACGAAAAAUCCAGUGGCCAUUCGUUUCAGAAAACAGUCGAUAUUAGAUCGUCGAGAUUAUGCGAGUAUUCGAUCAAAAUAAUGAAAUUAUCUUUACUUUGGAUCGUAUUUGAAUAAUUCCGGUGUUCGAUAAAAAUAAUGCAGAAAUUUUUCAUGCACGUCCGCGACGAGAAACAUCGUUUUACGAUAUGUUUCUAAGAAGAAAACGUUUCUGUAGGACAUUUGCUGCUAUACAUCGAUACACCUUCAGGUUUCUCGUCAAAAAAUCGAUCUUCAGAAAACGUUCUUUUCGACGUUACACGCGACCCUUAAAACAAUAGAACUGCGUAUCGAGAAGAUUUUCGUUGAACAAUGAACGAGGCAGAUACUCGACUAAUUUCAUUUAGCCGAAGCAUCCUGUACAUUCUACAGAAAUUUGCAUACACGCGACCUAUAAUCUAUAAUCCAUAAGCUAACGUGAAUUAAAUUACCUACAUACAGGGUGUUCGCGUUCAGAAGCGAAGAAAAACGUAACGCGAUAUUCUCGUAUUUGUGUCUCGCUUGUCUUAAACCUAAGAAAUUCUACGAAAUUAAAGCUGCCAUAUCUUUGAGUCUUUCACGCUCCGCUGCCUUCGUUCGAGAGGAAUACAAAGAGAUUGCCGUAUGGCGAUCGUAUGGCAGAAAAUUGCAAGCUGAAAACAUUUUUCGAAAAUGUGUAUCUCUUUGCAGCUUCGCCCUCGAAAUGUAAAUCGAAAAAGCAAAUAAAAAAAAAAAAGUGAAAAAUACGCAGAAGGUGGAACUGCUCGAAAAUCGAGCCCAAACGUCAUCCUAAUGCGGCAACUAAGUGAUUGCGGAUUUUGUCAUUAGGUGGUAAUGACAAAAUCCGCAAUCACUUAGUUGCCAGCCCAAUAUGAAAAGGAUGCGAAACAAGGCAGUCAGAUGCCAAUUUGUAGGGCGAGGCGCUGGAGCGUAGCAGAGGCAAAUACAUUUUGGAUGGCCGGGAAACAGAGUAGGUGUAUUUUUGUAUGCGAAGAACAAUCGGAAACGCUGAAACGUUUGUUAGAGGACUGUGGAGGAAUAGAGGAUAGAAGCACGCGUUAGAGAAAACUGUACGAGAUCGAGAUGGAAAAAAGACAGAAUGAUAGAAUGGUUGAGGAAAUGAGAAAGAAGCGAGUGUGUAUAAGGAAGGAUAGGGGAAAAGGAAGAGCAGACGUGGGAACGCCAAAGAGAGAAUGUGCGACUAACAUGUGAGAUUCAAUUUAAGUAAUUAACCGAGAGUAAAUAGAAUGUAACUGAGAGUGAGUUCAAGCAUUAGAUUGUCCCAAAAGUUUCUUUCGUUCUUGUCCCGGGAGCGACAAGAUGGAUCACACGUAA